GAUGAAGAACGCAGCGAAAUGCGAUAAGUAAUGUGAAUUGCAGAAUUCAGUGAAUCAUCGAAUCUUUGAACGCACAUUGCGCCCCCUGGUAUUCCGGGGGGCAUGCCUGUCCGAGCGUCAUUACAACCCUCAAGCUCAGCUUGGUGUUGGGCCCUGCCGCCCCGGCGGGCCCUAAAGUCAGUGGCGGUGCCGUCCGGCUCCGAGCGUAGUAAUUCUUCUCGCUCUGGAGGUCCGGUCGUGUGCUCGCCAGCAACCCCCAAUUUUUUUCAGGUUGACCUCGGAUCAGGUAGGGAUACCCGCUGAACUUAAGCAUAUCAAUAAGCGGAGGA
rnacentral:misc_RNA from 1 species